rnacentral:lncRNA from 1 species
AGAGCUUCAUAUUGGGCCUGGUUGUUGGAUGUUUUGAAUUUGAAUAUCAAUGAAUAUUCAAGCAAUGGGUAACUCUGCCGCGAAAUCGGCGAGAUGCUGACCUUUAAUGGAACCCCUUGGUUCAUACCGGAGGCCGAAUUCCGACAACUCAACGGCCCAGCUCACCAUUCGGCCCGCUAGGUCGGGCUUCCUCAGUACCUUAGCCACAGGAUGAUUGGUCCGAACGACGACUUGGUACCCCUGAAAAUAUUGUCAAAGUCUGCGGGCGGCGUGAAGGAGUGCCAACGCCACUUUCUCCACUUGCUGAUAGCGGGUUUCCGUAUCCUGAAGUGUUCUACUCACAAAGUAUAUAAGUUUGGGGGACGGUUCUUCCUGCAUUAAGAUCGCACUGAUUACCGUGUCCGACACCCCCAGGUAUAUUUGCAACUCAUACCCUGGUGCCGACCGGUAAUCACUGGAGGAUUCAUCAAAAUUUCCUUCACCUUAGUGAACGCUUGUUCACAAUCCGCGUCCCAUUUACCCGGUGUGUCCUUCUCCAUUUUCUUUACUAUUGGCCAAAUGCGCUCGGCCAACUUAGGGACAAAACGGGACAGAGUCGUCAAUCUCCCA